rnacentral:rRNA from 1 species
ACGCUGGCGGCGUGCCUAAUACAUGCAAGUAGAACGCUGAAGGAGGAGCUUGCUCUUCUGGAUGAGUUGCGAACGGGUGAGUAACGCGUAGGUAACCUGCCUGGUAGCGGGGGAUAACUAUUGGAAACGAUAGCUAAUACCGCAUAACAGUAGAUGUUGCAUGACAUUUGCUUAAAAGGUGCAAUUGCAUCACUACCAGAUGGACCUGCGUUGUAUUAGCUAGUUGGUGGGGUAACGGCUCACCAAGGCGACGAUACAUAGCCGACCUGAGAGGGUGAUCGGCCACACUGGGACUGAGACACGGCCCAGAUUCCUACGGGAGGCAGCAGUAGGGAAUCUUCGGCAAUGGACGGAAGUCUGACCGAGCAACGCCGCGUGAGUGAAGAAGGUUUUCGGAUCGUAAAGCUCUGUUGUAAGAGAAGAACGAGUGUGAGAGUGGAAAGUUCACACUGUGACGGUAUCUUACCAGAAAGGGACGGCUAACUACGUGCCAGCAGCCGCGGUAAUACGUAGGUCCCGAGCGUUGUCCGGAUUUAUUGGGCGUAAAGCGAGCGCAGGCGGUUAGAUAAGUCUGAAGUUAAAGGCUGUGGCCUAACCAUAGUACGCUUUGGAAACUGUUUAACUUGAGUGCAAGAGGGGAGAGUGGAAUUCCAUGUGUAGCGGUGAAAUGCGUAGAUAUAUGGAGGAACACCGGUGGCGAAAGCGGCUCUCUGGCUUGUAACUGACGCUGAGGCUCGAAAGCGUGGGGAGCAAACAGGAUUAGAUACCCUGGUAGUCCACGCCGUAAACGAUGAGUGCUAGGUGUUAGACCCUUUCCGGGGUUUAGUGCCGUAGCUAACGCAUUAAGCACUCCGCCUGGGGAGUACGACCGCAAGGUUGAAACUCAAAGGAAUUGACGGGGGCCCGCACAAGCGG